rnacentral:lncRNA from 1 species
GAAGGGUCGGAGGAGUCUGCGGGCGGCUGGCGCUGCCUACCUUGAACUCUGCGGAAAGUUGGGGCGUGUAUUCGCGCGUCCAGAGCGCGCGCACCAGCGCCGCCAGCUGCUCGGUGACCUCGGCGCGGCCCGGCGCCGCCCGGUAGCGCCCCAGCGCUAGGAACUCGGCCAGCAGGUCGGUGUUGCUGAGACACUGCACCACCGCGUUCAUGAAACAGGUGUUGCCAUGGUUCUUCAAGCCCUGAGCGCCGGGCGGACGCGCCCCGUCACCCGAAGAUAUCUGGGGUUGGGAUCCCGGAGGACGAUCUGGCCCUGGACUCCCGGCAGAGGCUGGUGCCGGGCCCGGGGCGCAGGCAAAGCCCCCUUCUCCAUCGCCAUCGUAGGGACUGGGCUGGGCCGGGGGCCGGGGCGGCGAGUCCCCCGAGCGGGAGCGGCUGCCCAGAGCUAGCAGGAAGCGGUUAAGCAGGCGGCGAAGGGAACGGCGGCGGCGGGGCCGGGGCGCGGGCGGCCCCUCUCCCAGUGCGUUCCCCACGCCCGGAUCCAUGCUGGCCACGCACGGUGGUCCGGGAGCGCAGCCCCCGAGACCCCAGGCGGGCCGGCAGCUUCCCGGUCCUCACCGCCUCCCGGAGGCGCCGGGCGCCGGCUACCUGAGAGCCAGGUGUGCGGACACCGGGCGAGGGCGGAGCCAGGGGCGGGGCCGCCACGCCACGCCCCACGCGGGAAUCCGGCCCUAGGGCAGCGCCCGCCGCCGGGCUCCCGCCCCCGCGGCUGGAGCUGGGAAUGCACUCCCUCUGAGCCCGCCUAGUGGACUUCCCCGCCCUUCCUUCCCGCCUUGGAACAGGCCUUUCACCUCGGCUCGCCUUCCCCGCCCAUCCCUAAACAGCGUAGCUAACCCGGGGAUGGAACCUUCUGAAGCGCCCAGCGAAGCAAAGCCCUGGCUCUGGCUAAGUUUCUGGUCGUGGAAGCCAGAUGAAGACUAAGAAAAUUGACCGGCGAGCGGUGCCCCUGUUCGUGCCCAGGUGUCCCGAGAGGCGCGCGCUGGCAGCUGUGCAGGUGGGGAGCCCAGGCUCAGGUGCAUGCGGUCAGGUGGCGCCACCUCCUUUGCAGCCUUUGCCUACACCGGUCACCCCAGGACCUGAACUGGGAGUGGGAAUGCUAGUGGGUUGGGAGUUUGUUUUCUUUUUCUUGCUGUUUUGUUUUGUUUUUUUAAAUAACACAAUAGGUUACAUUCAUUUUCCUUAAACUUGGGAGACUUGAACGUCCUGGUUUUCAUUGGUGAAGGGAGCUCAGCGAGGUUGAGGCUGUGAAAAGAGAGGAACCGGAAUUCGACCCUCCCUGGGUGCACUGCAGAGUUCAGGCUCUUUACAACCCCAGUAUUUGCUUGGCAGGAAGUUUUCCGGUUCUCAGGCGCGCCCCCUACUCGGUUGCUGCUUCGCUCCUCCACGCUAAAGCCUGGCUGUAUCCUUACCCAAUCAGAAUUAGUUUGGCCUCGCCCCGCCCUUAAUUCCCUGGGUAACCCUGGAGGCCUCUGCUCCUUUUAUGCCUUAACUGUCAGGUUUAUAAUUAAUCAGGCAAGGUCUUGCAAAAUGAAUUUCUCAUCAGUUUGUAGCUCAAAAAGAGAUCAGCAGCUUUCUGGAGUCAGACUUACAUCAGAACCCAAAAAUGUGACUUGCUAUUUAAUAAUAAGUGCUCAUCAUUUAUUAAGUAUCCCUCCUCGAUCUUCACAUAGAAUUGCAGCAGUUACCUGGUGCCAAAAAGUUGCAUAAGUUAAGGAUAAAGAAGAAACUGUAAUGUGGAGACUUGAAGUGUAAAAAGCCACCAUUUACCUUCCUGGGAAAGACAUCCACCUAGUUGAUAAAUUUAUAAGGUUCAUUUCAUGACCCGGAUGUACUGAAGGUGCCGUGGUCAUAGCAGACUCUGAUAAAUCAUCUCCGGUAUUUCACCUUUGAGAUCAUGUCAAGAUCCCCAGCAGGGAGUUUUCAUUUGGUAACAGUUUCGGGAGCGGCUGUUGCUUUUGUUUUGCUAGGAGGUUGUUGGUAAGAAGGAGGGAGUCCAUCACACUUAUGUUGCUCAGGUUUGUCUGGAACUCUCAUUCUCAACCUUAGCCUCCUGAGUGCUGGAAUCCUGGGUGUGUGUCUCACGACUCACAAUAAAUGUCUGAGCAGAAAUCUAUUCUUACUUGGCAAAGUCGAAAACUGGAGCUAGAGUUGGUUUAUGAGCUUGCUGUAAAGGCUAAUUUUUGAUUGUCGAUUCGAUCAAAUUAAGAAUCACCUGAUGACCCUGUCUCGACCCAGUAUCUGCCAGCAGUUUGGUCUUGGGGUUCAUUUUGAGAAUAUCCCCGGUUGUGGUGCCAAGGUAGAAGAAGCUGUCGUCGUCGGCCAUCUAGGAGAUCAGAAACAGAAACCUGAAGACUCGAGUCUCCCCAGGAGUCUAGGAAGCCCCAGUCAGAAAGGAGAUGGAAUUCCAUAACCUCUGACAAAGAAGCUCAUGGUAACAUCGGUCUCCCAAGACGUAAGGACAGGUCAGCACAGCUCUGAGUGCAGCAGAGUCAGGGCCACCCGCAGCUGGAGGGUGAAUUUUACUUGACAUUCAUUCGGGUCUGAUGCUAACACACACAUGACCAGUGCCAGCUGCUGAGUCACCUCCAAAGGGCUCUUAGGAUAAGGAUGUGCUUCCUCUAUGGGGACACACAUUUGCUUUAUUCCAGUCUCCAAAGGCUACGCUCAUAAAAGGGACUAUGCAUUAAAGGAGGAAGAAUAGAUCAAGGAAUGGAGCAGAGAGUUCUAUGAAUGAAUUAUGAUUCUGUAUAUAAUCACAUCAAUAACGUCUCUUUGUGGAAGAGUCUGCAUUUCAACAGUGCAUUUCCCCAUCAGACACUUUAUUUCCUAAGAAAGGAAUAACCAUGGUGGCAGACGGAGCUGCAACAUAUCUUCAGUGUCACCUGGCCACACUGCUUCCCUCCAGGUCAGGCUUUGGAUGUUUGGUAAUGAGUGGCGAAGGUGCCAGUGAAAUGGGACCUCUUAGCGCUUGCUGUGCUCCUUCCCAGCUGUGUGCUCCCUCUGAGCUAUACCUCCUCACCAGCAUCCCACCACCGGUCUAUCCCUCCUCUCUAGCCUGGCCCAGUGCACACACACCCCUGCUCAGGCUGCUGCUGCUGCUGCAGGCACUUGCACUAGGAGUCAAUGUAGCAACCGUUGAGGCGGUACUUACUCCAGUACUCAAGACUAUUCUUUUCAUCUGUCCUGUUUGGCACUCGGUUGGCCAGAUUUUUCUAUUUGGAAGAUCCAGUUCCCACACUCGAAUUGUCCCACUACAAAGAAAAAAAUCACAAUCAAAUGGAUACCCUUUUAAGCACUGCUUCACAUCUUUUAGGGUAUUUCCACCCCACCCCACCCCACCUCACCCCCUCUUGAAGGAGAAGCUGACAGGAAGAGGGAGAAAUAUUUCUGAGGAUUUUUACUUUUCGAGCCCACUGUACAACUUGAGAAUUUCCCACUCAGCCUCAGAGCAACACUAAGAGGUAGGUUGUAUGCUCCCCGCCUCUGCAGGUGGGACGAUGCAGACAGAGCUUACACACAGCAGAACAGGACUCAUACCCCUGCUCUGUCACGCAUUGAAGUGUACACUCUCCCCACUGUACUGAGAGAAGAAGGUAUAAUCAAGUAGACAACCCAGGCGUGGUGCAUCCUUGACUCUCAGCAUGUAGGACACUGAGGCAGGCAGAUCUCUGAGUCAGCCUGGUCUACAUAGUAAGUUCCAGGACAGCAAGGGCUACAUAAAUGUGGCCCUGUCUCAAAGAUAAAUUAACAAAUUAGUCAUGCAAAUAAAUGUAGAACAAACCAGGGUUCUUAAUAUUCAGGGAAGUCCUCUUAUUAUUAAGUGGUUACAUAUAUUUACAAUAUACAGCAUGAGGUUUUAAUGCAUAAACACACUGUGGAAAGGUUAAAUUAAACUGCUAAGCAUGUGUGUCACCUUAUUUAUCUCUUCCUAGUAAGAACACUUGAAAUCCACUCCCAUUGGAUUUCCACUUUCAGUGUUAUUUAACAUAUGCUGUGUCCGAAUAUUGCUAUGGACUGUAGUCACCGUGGGGUAUACACACUGAGUGCCCAUCGAUCGACGAGUGGAUGAUGAGUGUGCAUAUAUACAAAGGAAAACUGUUGGCCCUUAAGAAAGGUGGACAUCUGGAGAAGACCAUGCUAGCCGGAAUGAGCCCAUCACAGAAAGACAAAUAUUGCCUGAUCUCACUCUUGUGGAAUCUAAAUGGAAUGUACCAGAGGCUUGGGUGAGAGAGGGCAAGUGGAAGAUGUUUGUUCAGGACACCGAAUCUCAGUUAGGAGAAAUUAGGUGGUGAUAUCUUUUUUUUUUUUUCUUUCAGAAGCAAGAUCUCAUGUAGCCCAGGCUGGCCUCAUAACUCACUGUGUAACUAAGGCUGGCCAUAAGACUCUUGCCUCUGCUUCCCAAAUGCUGGGAUUACAGACAUGCACCUUGCUUAAUGGAGGAUGUUUUAGUUUGGAGAAUUCCUGUCUCCAAGGAUAGAGACGUGAGAUUAAAUGAGUAAAAGUUUAAGUUAGUA